rnacentral:rRNA from 1 species
UACAGAGGUCUCAACCGUUGUUCGGAUUUACUGGGCGUAAAGGGCGCGUAGGCGGUAGCACAAGUCAGUUGUGAAAUCUCCGGGCUUAACUCGGAAAGGUCAACUGAUACUGUGCGACUAGAGUGCAGAAGGGGCAACUGGAAUUCUCGGUGUAGCGGUGAAAUGCGUAGAUAUCGAGAGGAACACCUGCGGCGAAGGCGGGUUGCUGGGCUGACACUGACGCUGAGGCGCGAAAGCCAGGGGAGCGAACGGG